AUGGUAAGAAUUUAUAGGAACGAUGUCAUCUUCAUAUUGGUCAUUUGCAUGGCACAAGUCACAUUGGAAGCAGGUUCCAUGACUCUUCCAGCUGACGAGGUGCAAGCCCUUCAUGAAAUUGCUGAGCAACUCAACAAAAAGGACUGGAAUUUGAGCGACCCAUGUAGAAAUAUUCCAACUUUCUCAAUUCCACAUACGGAUCAGUACAACAACACCCUCUUCUGCAACUGUUCCUUCCCCGGCAACGUGUGCCAUGUCCAAACCAUCUUUCUUGUGGGUCAAGACCUCGAUGGUGUGCUUCCACCAUCACUGGUGAAGCUACCGUACCUCAAGGAACUUAAUCUGAAGCAGAAUUACCUUAGUGGUUCAAUUCCACCCGAAUGGGCUUCUACCAAGUUGGAAUUUCUGGUUCUCAGUGUGAACAACUUAUCAGGAUCUAUCCCGGCCUAUUUGGGGAACAUAACUACUCUCCGAGCUUUGGCCCUGGAGAGCAACUUUUUUUCUGGAUCUAUUCCGCCGGAGAUGGGGAGAUUGAUUAACAUGGAAGUCCUCUACCUUCGUUCUAACAAUCUCACUGGACAGUUGCCUGUGGCUCUCAUUAAUAUGACCAAAUUAAAAACACUUUGGAUUGGCAGUAACAACUUCACUGGAAAAAUACCAAACUAUUUUCCUAGUUGGAAAGAACUACAGAUGUUAGAGAUGCAAGCCAGUGGCUUUGAAGGACCCAUUCCUUCUACUCUUUUCUGUCUUAAGUAAUAUGAAAUACCUAGUAAUCAGUGAUUUAAGUGGUGAGAGCUCAGUUUUUCCAGACUUGUCAAACAUGAAAAACAUGCAGACAUUGAUGUUAAGGAGCUGCAAUAUGACAGGAUCAAUUCCAGAAUAUAUCUCUAACAUGACAAGCCUGCAAGUUUUAGAUCUUAGCUUCAACAGAUUGAAAGGGAGCAUCCCAAAUCUUGACAAUUUAUUGGGAUUGGCCACAAUAUAUCUGACAAGUAACUGGCUUACUGGGCUGCCAGAGUGGAUCACAAAUAGAGAUAGCCGCUACAUAGUAGAUCUUUCUUACAACAAUUUUUCAAGGGAUUCUGUCCCAACUACAUGUCGAGAAACCUUAUAUUCAUUGCAUAUAAACUGUGGUGGAAAACCAAUCACAAUUGGAGGCAUCAAGUAUGAGGGGGAUGAAGCCUCGGGAGGGGGAGCAAAGUUUUUUCAAGACACAGUUAACUGGGGAUUUAGUAGCACUGGUGAUUAUGGGCUUACGAAUUUUGACCAUGCCUACAUAGAAAAUAAUAUUUCCAUACUCAAAAUGAACAACUCGGAAUUGUACAGAACUGCCCGACUUUCAUUCCUUUCUCUCACAUAUUAUGCCCGUUGCUUAGCAAAUGGAAAUUACACUGUGAAACUACACUUUGCAGAAAUAGUUCUCAGAGACAACAGAUCUUAUUAUGGUGUUGGAAGCCGAUUUUUUGAUGUCUAUAUUCAGGACAAGCUGGUAUUGAAGGAUUUUAAUAUCGAAAAAGAAGCUCAGGGUAUUGAUAAGGAAGUGAUUAAAGUAUUUAAAGCCGUUGUCAGUGUUAGCACCUUAGAAAUCCGUUUCUAUUGGGCUGGGAAAGGGACUAUGAAUGUCCCAAAGAGAGGGACAUAUGGUUCUCUAAUAUCAGCUAUCUCAGUUGAGUCUGAUGGUACUACUAUUGCUGUUAAGCAACUUUCAUCGAAGUCAAAACAAGGAAAUCGUGAGUUUGUGAAUGAAAUAGGAAUGAUUUCUGGUUUGCAACAUCCAAAUCUUGUUAGAUUGUAUGGAUGUUGCAUUGAAGGAAUCAGUUGUUGCUGGUAUAUGAAUACAUGGAGAACAAUAGUCUUGCACAUACCUUGUUUGGUCCAGAAGAUGAUAAACUGAAAUUGGACUGGCCUACAAGGCAAAAAAUAUGUAUUGGCAUUGCAAGAGGGCUAGCUUUCCUGCAUGAGGAAUCAACACUGAAAAUUGUUCACAGAGACAUCAAAAUGAGUAAUAUACUGCUAGAUAGAGACCUUAACCCUAAAAUCUCCGACUUUGGAUUGGCCAAGCUGGACGAAGAGGAGAAGACGCAUAUUAGUACCAGAGUAGCUGGAACUAUAGGAUACAUGGCGCCAGAAUAUGCUUUGUGGGGUCACUUAACUGAUAAAGUAGAUGUUUAUAGUUUUGGAGUUGUUGCGUUAGAGCUUGUAUCUGGCAAAAACAACGUCAAAUUUCGGCAUGAUGAGAAUUAUGUUUGCCUUCUAGAUUAUGCCCUUGUUUUGCAACAAAAAGAAAAACUGAUGGAGCUAGUGGAUCCAAAGCUGGAAUCCAAGUUCAACAAGGAAGAGGCAAUGAGAAUGAUUAAAGUAGCUCUACUAUGCACCCAUCCAUCACCAGCAUUGAGACCUACAAUAUCUGCAGCACUAAGCAUGCUUGAAGGCCGAGCAGUUAUUCACGAGUUAAAUACAAGCUCCAGUAUGUAUAGUGAUCAUAAGCUAGCGUUUGAGUCCUUCAGAGAUGAGUAUCAUGAUGUGAGUAUUCAACAGAGACUUCUGCCUCAAGGGCCAGAGGCCUCUUCCUCAAGGACUGUCCAUGAUAGCUAUACAUUUAACCUUGAUUGUCCGUAGUUUUUUUAUAUAUAUUAUAGAGCUUAGUAUAUUUUUUCCAUGGUCUUGCACAUCACAACUUUGAUGUAUGUGUCUUUUCAAUCUAUGAUUGUAUAUGAA